rnacentral:rRNA from 1 species
UACGGAGGGGGCUAGCGUUGUUCGGAAUUACUGGGCGUAAAGCGCACGUAGGCGGCUUUGCAAGUUAGAGGUGAAAGCCCGGGGCUCAACUCCGGAAUUGCCUUUAAAACUGCAUCGCUAGAAUUGUGGAGAGGUAAGUGGAAUUCCGAGUGUAGAGGUGAAAUUCGUAGAUAUUCGGAAGAACACCAGUGGCGAAGGCGACUUACUGGACACGUAUUGACGCUGAGGUGCGAAAGCGUGGGGAGGCAAACA